rnacentral:rRNA from 1 species
GUUAUAGGGUCAAGCGAACAAGUGCAUGUGGUGGAUGCCUUGGCGAUCACAGGCGAUGAAGGACGCGGUAGCCUGCGAAAAGCUACGGGGAGCUGGCAAACAAGCUUUGAUCCGUAGAU